UGGGGUUCGGCUCCGGAGAGUUCGCCUGAGAAAUCGCGAACACAUCUAAGGAAGGCAGCAGGCGCGAAAAUUACCCACUCUCAGCACGAGGAGGUAGUGACGAAAAAUAACGAGACCGUUCUCUUUCGAGGCCGGUCAUCGGAAUGGGUACAAUUUAAACCCUUUAACGAGUAUCUAUGAGAGGGCAAGUCUGGUGCCAGCAGCCGCGGUAAUUCCAGCUCUCAAAGUGCAUAGAAUUAUUGCUGCGGUUAAAAAGCUCGUAGUUGGAUCUGUGCCAUAGGACGGGGUCCACCUUCGGGUGCGUACUCCGCUCCUAGGCUUUUUGCUGGUUUUCCCGUCGUAGCCUUCACUGGUUGCGGCGGGUGGCUGGCGAGUUUACUUUGAGAAAAUCAGAGUGCUCAAUACAGGCGUCUAGCUUGAAUGAUUGUGCAUGGAAUAAUAGAAAAGGAUUUCGGUCCUCUUUUAUUGGUUUUGUGGACUGAGAUAAUGGUUAACAGGGACAAACGGGGGCAUUCGUAUCGCUGCGUGAGAGGUGAAAUUCUUGGACCGUAGCGAGACGCCCUACUGCGAAAGCAUUUGCCAAGAAUGUCUUCAUUAAUCAAGAACGAAAGUCAGAGGUUCGAAGGCGAUCAGAUACCGCCCUAGUUCUGACCGUAAACGAUGCCAACUAGCGAUCCGCCGGUGGAUUUUUAGCCCUGGUGGGUAGCUUCCCGGAAACGAAAGUCUUCCGGUUCCGGGGGAAGUAUGGUUGCAAAGCUGAAACUUAAAGGAAUUGACGGAAGGGCACCACCAGGAGUGGAGCCUGCGGCUUAAUUUGACCCAACACGGGGAAACUCACCCGGCCCGGACACCGUAAGGAUUGACAGAUUGAUAGCUCUUUCAUGAUUCGGUGGUUGGUGGUGCAUGGCCGUUCUUAGUUCGUGGAUCGAUUUGUCUGGUUUAUUCCGAUAACGAGCGAGACUCUAGCCUACUAAAUAGUAACGAGAUUGCCAUUGUCUUAGUUGCUUCUUAGAGGGAUUUUCGGUGUUUAGCCGCACGAGAUUGAGCAAUAACAGGUCUGUGAUGCCCUUAGAUGUCCGGGGCUGCACGCGCGCUACACUGGCGAAAUCAGCGUGCUGUAUCCAUUCUCGAAAGAGAUUGGUAAACCCAUGAAAAUUUGCCGUGCUUGGGAUCGGAAAUUGCAAUUAUUUUCCGUGAACGAGGAAUUCCAAGUAAGUGCGAGUCAUCAACUCGCUCUGAUUACGUCCCUGCCCUUUGUACACACCGCCCGUCGCUGCCCGGGACUGAGCCAUUUCGAGAAGAUCAGGGACCGGUGGGCUGUGGCCUCUUCGGAGGUUCGGUCCGUUGGAAACUGAUUUGAUCGCAGUGGCUUGAACCGGGCAAAAGUCGUAACAAGGUA
rnacentral:rRNA from 1 species